rnacentral:rRNA from 1 species
AUAAUGGGUCAGCGACUUAUAUUCUGUAGCAAGGUUAACCGAAUAGGGGAGCCGAAGGGAAACCGAGUCUUAACUGGGCGUUAAGUUGCAGGGUAUAGACCCGAAACCCGGUGAUCUAGCCAUGGGCAGGUUGAAGGUUGGGUAACACUAACUGGAGGACCGAACCGACUAAUGUUGAAAAAUUAGCGGAUGACUUGUGGCUGGGGGUGAAAGGCCAAUCAAACCGGGAGAUAGCUGGUUCUCCCCGAAAGCUAUUUAGGUAGCGCCUCGUGAAUUCAUCUCCGGGGGUAGAGCACUGUUUCGGCAAGGGGGUCAUCCCGACUUACCAACCCGAUGCAAACUGCGAAUACCGGAGAAUGUUAUCACGGGAGACACACGGCGGGUGCUAACGUCCGUCGUGAAGAGGGAAACAACCCAGACCGCCAGCUAAGGUCCCAAAGUCAUGGUUAAGUGGGAAACGAUGUGGGAAGGCCCAGACAGCCAGGAUGUUGGCUUAGAAGCAGCCAUCAUUUAAAGAAAGCGUAAUAGCUCACUGGUCGAGUCGGCCUGCGCGGAAGAUGUAACGGGGCUAAACCAUGCACCGAAGCUGCGGCAGCGACGCUGAUGCGUUGUUGGGUAGGGGAGCGUUCUGUAAGCCUGUGAAGGUGUGCUGUGAGGCAUGCUGGAGGUAUCAGAAGUGCGAAUGCUGACAUAAGUAACGAUAAAGCGGGUGAAAAGCCCGCUCGCCGGAAGACCAAGGGUUCCUGUCCAACGUUAAUCGGGGCAGGGUGAGUCGACCCCUAAGGCGAGGCCGAAAGGCGUAGUCGAUGGGAAACAGGUUAAUAUUCCUGUACUUGGUGUUACUGCGAAGGGGGGACGGAGAAGGCUAUGUUGGCCGGGCGACGGUUGUCCCGGUUUAAGCGUGUAGGCUGGUUUUCCAGGCAAAUCCGGAAAAUCAAGGCUGAGGCGUGAUGACGAGGCACUACGGUGCUGAAGCAACAAAUGCCCUGCUUCCAGGAAAAGCCUCUAAGCAUCAGGUAACAUCAAAUCGUACCCCAAACCGACACAGGUGGUCAGGUAGAGAAUACCAAGGCGCUUGAGAGAACUCGGGUGAAGGAACUAGGCAAAAUGGUGCCGUAACUUCGGGAGAAGGCACGCUGAUAUGUAGGUGAAGUCCCUCGCGGAUGGAGCUGAAAUCAGUCGAAGAUACCAGCUGGCUGCAACUGUUUAUUAAAAACACAGCACUGUGCAAACACGAAAGUGGACGUAUACGGUGUGACGCCUGCCCGGUGCCGGAAGGUUAAUUGAUGGGGUCAGCGCAAGCGAAGCUCUUGAUCGAAGCCCCGGUAAACGGCGGCCGUAACUAUAACGGUCCUAAGGUAGCGAAAUUCCUUGUCGGGUAAGUUCCGACCUGCACGAAUGGCGUAAUGAUGGCCAGGCUGUCUCCACCCGAGACUCAGUGAAAUUGAACUCGCUGUGAAGAUGCAGUGUACCCGCGGCAAGACGGAAAGACCCCGUGAACCUUUACUAUAGCUUGACACUGAACAUUGAGCCUUGAUGUGUAGGAUAGGUGGGAGGCUUUGAAGUGUGGACGCCAGUCUGCAUGGAGCCGGCCUUGAAAUACCACCCUUUAAUGUUUGAUGUUCUAACGUUGACCCGUGAUCCGGGUUGCGGACAGUGUCUGGUGGGUAGUUUGACUGGGGCGGUCUCCUCCUAAAGAGUAACGGAGGAGCACGAAGGUUGGCUAAUCCUGGUCGGACAUCAGGAGGUUAGUGCAAUGGCAUAAGCCAGCUUGACUGCGAGCGUGACGGCGCGAGCAGGUGCGAAAGCAGGUCAUAGUGAUCCGGUGGUUCUGAAUGGAAGGGCCAUCGCUCAACGGAUAAAA